GGACUACCAGGGUUUCUAAUCCUGUUUGCUACCCACGCUUUCGUGUCUCAGUGUCAGAAGUGAGCCAAGGAGCUGCUUUCGCCAUCGGUGUUCCUCUCGAUAUCUACGCAUUUUACCGCUACUCCGAGAAUUCCACUCCUCUCUCUCACCCUCUAGCAUAAUAGUUUCCAUCGCGAUUUUCCGGUUGAGCCGAAAGAUUUAACAACAGACUUACUACACCACCUACACACCCUUUACGCCCAGUGAUUCCGAAUAACGCUUGCACCCCUCGUAUUACCGCGGCUGCUGGCAC
rnacentral:rRNA from 1 species